rnacentral:tRNA from 1 species
GCCUCUGUCGUUCAACGGAUAGGACACAAGAUUGCGGAUCUUGUAAUCGAGGUUCGAUUCCUCGCAGAGGCA